rnacentral:rRNA from 1 species
GAUGAACGCUAGCGGCAGGCUUAAUACAUGCAAGUCGUGGGGCAGCAGGUUUGUAGCAAUACAGAUGCUGGCGACCGGCAAACGGGUGCGGAACACGUACAGAACCUUCCUUGAGCGGGGAAUAGCCCAGAGAAAUUUGGAUUAAUACCCCAUAGUAUAAUGAAGUGGCAUCACUUUAUUAUUAAAGAUUUAUCACUCGAAGAUGGCUGUGCGGCUGAUUAGGUAGUUGGCGGGUAAAGGCCCACCAAGCCUGCGAUCAGUAACUGGUGUGAGAGCACGACCAGUCACACGGGCACUGAGACACGGGCCCGACUCCUACGGGAGGCAGCAGUAAGGAAUAUUGGUCAAUGGAGGCAACUCUGAACCAGCCAUGCCGCGUGGAGGAUGAAGGUCCUCUGGAUUGUAAACUUCUUUAUAUGGGACGAAAAAAGGCUUUUCUAAGUCGUCUGACGGUACCAUAUGAAUAAGCACCGGCUAACUCCGUGCCAGCAGCCGCGGUAA